rnacentral:rRNA from 1 species
ACACCGAGGAUGCAAGCGUUAUUCGGAUUUAUUGGGCGUAAAGAGCGUGUAGGCGGUUGGGUUAGUCAGAUGUGAAAUCCUUCUGCUCAACGGAAGAAGUGCAUCUGAAACUGCCCGACUUGAGUACGAGAGAGGAAAGUGGAAUUCCCAGUGUAGAGGUGAAAUUCGUAGAUAUUGGGAGGAACACCUGUGGCGAAGGCGACUUUCUAGAUCGAUACUGACGCUGAGGCGCGAAAGCGUGGGGAGCAAACAGGAUUAGAAACCCCAGUAGUCC